rnacentral:rRNA from 1 species
UAGCGAAAUUCCUUGUCGGGUAAGUUCCGACCUGCACGAAUGGCGUAACGAUGGCGGCGCUGUCUCCACCCGAGACUCAGUGAAAUUGAAAUCGCUGUGAAGAUGCAGUGUAUCCGCGGCUAGACGGAAAGACCCCGUGAACCUUUACUAUAGCUUUGCACUGGACUUUGAAUUUGCUUGUGUAGGAUAGGUGGGAGGCUUUGAAGCGUGGACGCCAGUCUGCGUGGAGCCAUCCUUGAAAUACCACCCUGGCAACUUUGAGGUUCUAACUCAGGUCCGUUAUCCGGAUCGAGGACAGUGUAUGGUGGGUAGUUUGACUGGGGCGGUCUCCUCCUAAAGAGUAACGGAGGAGUACGAAGGUGCGCUCAGACCGGUCGGAAAUCGGUCGUAGAGUAUAAAGGCAAAAGCGCGCUUGACUGCGAGACAGACACGUCGAGCAGGUACGAAAGUAGGUCUUAGUGAUCCGGUGGUUCUGUAUGGAAGGGCCAUCGCUCAACGGAUAAAAGGUACUCCGGGGAUAACAGGCUGAUACCGCCCAAGAGUUCAUAUCGACGGCGGUGUUUGGCACCUCGAUGUCGGCUCAUCACAUCCUGGGGCUGAAGCCGGUCCCAAGGGUAUGGCUGUUCGCCAUUUAAAGUGGUACGCGAGCUGGGUUUAGAACGUCGUGAGACAGUUCGGUCCCUAUCUGCCGUGGACGUUUGAGAUUUGAGAGGGGCUGCUCCUAGUACGAGAGGACCGGAGUGGACGAACCUCUGGUGUUCCGGUUGUCACGCCAGUGGCAUUGCCGGGUAGCUAUGUUCGGAAGAGAUAACCGCUGAAAGCAUCUAAGCGGGAAACUUGCCUCAAGAUGAGAUCUCACUGGAGCCUUGAGCUCCCUGAAGGGCCGUCGAAGACUACGACGUUGAUAGGUUGGGUGUGUAAGCGCUGUGAGGCGUUGAGCUAACCAAUACUAAUUGCCCGUGAGGCUUGACCAU